rnacentral:rRNA from 1 species
UUGCAAGUCGAACGGUAACAGGGAGCAGCUUGCUGCUCUGCUGACGAGUGGCGGACGGGUGAGUAAUGUCUGGGAAACUGCCUGAUGGAGGGGGAUAACUACUGGAAACGGUAGCUAAUACCGCAUAACGUCUUCGGACCAAAGUGGGGGACCUUCGGGCCUCAUGCCAUCAGAUGUGCCCAGAUGGGAUUAGCUAGUAGGUGGGGUAACGGCUCACCUAGGCGACGAUCCCUAGCUGGUCUGAGAGGAUGACCAGCCACACUGGAACUGAGACACGGUCCAGACUCCUACGGGAGGCAGCAGUGGGGAAUAUUGCACAAUGGGCGCAGGCCUGAUGCAGCCAUGCCGCGUGUAUGAAGAAGGCCUUCGGGUUGUAAAGUACUUUCAGCGGGGAGGAAGGUGUUGUGGUUAAUAACCGCAGCGAUUGACGUUACCCGCAGAAGAAGCACCGGCUAACUCCGUGCCAGCAGCCGCGGUAAUACGGAGGGUGCAAGCGUUAAUCGGAAUUACUGGGCGUAAAGCGCACGCACGCGGUCUGUUAAGUCAUAUGUGAAAUCCCCGGUCUUCACCUGGGAACUGCAUUUGAAACUGGCAGGCUUGAGUCUCGUAGAGGGGGGUAGAAUUCCAGGUGUAGCGAUGAAAUGCGUAGAGAUCUGGAGGAAUACCGGUGGCGAACGCGGCCCCCUGGACGAAGACUGACGCUCAGGUGCGAAAGCGUGCGGAGCAAACAGGAUUAGAUACCCUGGUAGUCCACGCCGUAAACGAUGUCGACUUGCAGGUUGUGCCCUUGAGGCGUGGCUUCCGGAGCUAACGCGUUAAGUCGACCGCCUGGCGAGUACGGCCGCAUGGUUAAAACUCAAAUGAAUUGACGGGGGCCCGCACAAGCGGUGGAGCAUGUGGUUUAAUUCGAUGCAACGUCGAGAGCCUUAG